rnacentral:rRNA from 1 species
GUGGGGAAUCUUGCGCAAUGGGCGAAAGCCUGACGCAGCCAUGCCGCGUGAAUGAUGAAGGUCUUAGGAUUGUAAAAUUCUUUCACCGGGGACGAUAAUGACGGUACCCGGAGAAGAAGCCCCGGCUAACUUCGUGCCAGCAGCCGCGGUAAUACGAAGGGGGCUAGCGUUGCUCGGAAUUACUGGGCGUCAAGGGCGCGUAGGCGGACAGUUUAGUCAGAGGUGAAAGCCCAGGGCUCAACCUUGGAAUUGCCUUUGAUACUGGCUGUCUUGAGUACGGGAGAGGUGAGUGGAACUCCGAGUGUAGAGGUGAAAUUCGUAGAUAUUCGGAAGAACACCAGUGGCGAAGGCGACUCACUGGCCCGUUACUGACGCUGAGGCGCGAAAGCGUGGGGAGCAAACAGGAUUAGAAACCCGGGUAGUCC